AACGAACGCUGGCGGCAGGCUUAACACAUGCAAGUCGAGCGCCCCGCAAGGGGCGCGGCGCACGGGUGUGUAACGCGUGGGGAAGUCCCUUUUUGUUCGGGACAACUCCCGGAGACUGGAGCGAAAACCGGGUAAGCCCUCACGGGGAAAGAUUUAUCGCCGUAGGAUCGGCCCGCGUCUGAUUAGCGAGUUGGUAGGGUAAAGGCCCACCAAGGCGACGAUCAGUAGCUGGUCUGAGAGGAUGAUCAGCCACACUGGGACUGAGACACGGCCCAGACUCCUACGGGAGGCAGCAGUGGGGAAUAUUGGACAAUGGGCGCAAGCCUGAUCCAGCCAUGCCGCGUGAGUGAUGAAGGCCUUAGGGUUGUAAAGCUCUUUUAUCCGGGAUGAUAAUGACUGUACCGGAAGAAUAAGCCCCGGCUAACUUCGUG
rnacentral:rRNA from 1 species